AUACUUACCUGGACGGGGUCGACGGAUGAUCAGGAAGACCCGUGGCCUAGGAAGACCCGUGGCCUAGGCUAGUGGCCCACAUUGCACAUGGUGGGUGCGCUGGCUUACCAUCUCCCCAAGCGGAGAGUGGACGUCAUAAUUUGUGGUUGAGGGGGUACGCGUUCGCGUGGCCCCUGC
rnacentral:snRNA from 1 species